rnacentral:rRNA from 1 species
UCGCCCUUAACACAUGCAAGUCGAGCGGUAACAGAAAGAAGCUUGCUUCUUUGCUGACGAGCGGCGGACGGGUGAGUAAUGCCUGGGAAAUUGCCCUGAUGUGGGGGAUAACCAUUGGAAACGAUGGCUAAUACCGCAUGAUAGCUUCGGCUCAAAGAGGGGGACCUUCGGGCCUCUCGCGUCAGGAUAUGCCCAGGUGGGAUUAGCUAGUUGGUGAGGUAAGGGCUCACCAAGGCGACGAUCCCUAGCUGGUCUGAGAGGAUGAUCAGCCACACUGGAACUGAGACACGGUCCAGACUCCUACGGGAGGCAGCAGUGGGGAAUAUUGCACAAUGGGCGCAAGCCUGAUGCAGCCAUGCCGCGUGUAUGAAGAAGGCCUUCGGGUUGUAAAGUACUUUCAGCAGUGAGGAAGGGUGAUGUGUUAAUAGCACAUUACUUUGACGUUAGCUGCAGAAGAAGCACCGGCUAACUCCGUGCCAGCAGCCGCGGUAAUACGGAGGGUGCGAGCGUUAAUCGGAAUUACUGGGCGUAAAGCGCAUGCAGGUGGUUUGUUAAGUCAGAUGUGAAAGCCCCGGGCUCAACCCGGGAUGGUCAUUUGAAACUGGCAGGCUGGAGUACUGUA